UUCUACAAACAGUUUGUUAAAUCAGUCUCAACCUCAGUUUGUAAAAGCCGGUGACGGCGCCGCCUCUGCUCCGCGCCAGUCCAAUGUAAACGCCGACUCAGAAAGAGGCAGGCAGCAGCUCGCCUCGUCCGCUACCAGCUGUAUCCCGCCGCGGUGUCUCCGCCUCCGCACGCCGCCUGCAGCCUCCAGAUAGAAGCGAAGCCCAAGGUGCAAUCGAGUCCCAUAUUGUGGACAUGAUUAAGCUGAGUGAUGCUUAUCAUCAACAAAUCUACCCUGGUGGAGAAACUGAUACUUCUGCUAGCAGUCAAAGUAAACCGGUGAUGUGGUCCAAUUGCUUCAGAUGUCAAAUGAAACCCACUCAUGGCAAAAAAAUCAAUGAUAGUCUGUAUCGGUGUAUGAAGAAAGUGAUAAAAGACAUGUAUUUGGUCAAGAAGGACGCGAUGAGGAUAUCUGUGGUCGAAGGUCAACUGCAGAGAAGUGUCUCACCAACGGACAAGACUGUUAUCACCAACUCCAAGUUAUUCCUAUUGUAGGGAUGGGUGGGAUUGAGAAGCCGGGAAAGAGGGCUUUGAUAUGUGACAGGGCAACAUAAGUCUCAGGCCUUAAAUAGGCAACGUUGUGUUGUUAUUCCUGGAGGCACUUCAAAGGAUGAGGUUUGUGAUGCCUUGCAGUCUAUGCCGCUUGCUCGUUCUCUUUUAUGUCAUAGUGAGGAAGUUGUUCCGAUGCCUGAGUCAAGACUGCUGAGGACAUUGAAAGCUUAUGAUGCAUAUAGGUUGCUGCACCACUUAUUUGGAAGAUGCCUCAACUUAGGCAUAUUGAGUUCCAUAAAGGAGAUUUGUAUUUACCCUGAAAUUUUGUCGUCAUGGACAAACUACAGACGCUCAAAGGAGUUGAUCUUUGUUAUUCAGGUAAGGUGACUGUGAUUAUCCCCAAUAUAAAGAAAUUGGCAGUAACCAAUGGAGAGCUUCAAAAGCUUUAGUCAAUGAAUAAGCUAGAGUCCUAUCGGUGUUAUGGUAAAGGGUAUACCUCCUUCCCACACUCUCUUAAGAAGUUGAACACACCUCCCAUUGAGAAGUGACUGAACAGAUGGUAGAAAAUAUAGGUGCAUUGUUUCUUCUUCAGAAGCUUCAAUUGGAAAGACCAGAUUUCCAAAAAGGUGUUUGGGAAACAAGCGAAGAACAGUUCCCCUGCCUCAAAUUAUUGGAACUGAAAUGGUGUCACUUGGUAUACUGGAUAACAGAUCACAUUCCAUGCCUUGAGAAAUUGUCUUUACGCAAUAAAGGAAUUCAAGGAGAUCCCUUGUUUGAAAUUGGUGAAAUACCAACAAUGCAAUCAAUUCACUUGGAAUAUUGCAGCGAAUCAGUGGUGGAGUCUGCCUGGAUGAUAGCAGAGGAGCAAGAUGAAAUACAAGCGAGCAACAACCAAGCACUACAGAGCCUUGCAAGCCCCAAAUUUCUAGUCGAGAUUGACUAUUUUUAGUCUAAAACAUUGAGAUACAAUCAAUCAAAUCUCUCUCAAGGUUUGCUUAUGCAGAUGUAAUCACUCUUUGCUUCCAGGUACUCUCUCUUUCUCUCUGUUCAUGGACUGAUGAGGCCACCUAUGCCGGAAGUGGUUCUUGGGGAUGUGCGGAUUGACACCAACUUCUGUUUUCUUUGGGUUCUGUUUCAGCGUUUCCAUCUUUGCAUAUACUGUUUGUACAUGUUUGCUUGUUCCAUUGAAUUUGUAAUUCUUAACUACCAUAAAUUUGUUGCAAAUAAUAAAUUAUUGGCUUGUUUAUUUUC